GAAGAUUUCCCGUCCCCUGUUAACUCAGAUGUAGUCAAAAAAUAUUUCGCAUAAAUUGACCCGCAGGACAAAAAGAAUAAAAGAGUCCAGGCAAAAAAGGGCAUCCCGGCGAACCAAAAAAAAAAAACCCCUGUUAACUCAGAUGUAGUCAAAAAAUAUUUCGCAUAAAUUGACCCGCAGGACAAAAAGAAUAAAAGAGUCCAGGCAAAAAAGGGCAUCCCGGCGAACCAAAAAAAAAAAAGAAGAGAAAGGUUUG
rnacentral:lncRNA from 1 species